CUGUGGAAUCGUCAGUGGAGAGCGCAGACAAGCACGUACACGUGAACAUAAGGAGCGGCAGCGUGCUUCGACUGUUUUGGCCUUGUAGGCGCGUGGGUUUGUUAGUUUACCUGAGUCUGUGGGCGUUCGUGUGCCGCACCACUGAUACAUACAUAGAUACAAACACACGGUGACGCCAGUUUAUAUGCUGUGGUGCUCUGGGCACGGGGCCCAUCACCGGUGCGCGACCACUGCUCAACUCCGCACCCACCUUCAUUUUUUUUUUUUUUGGUAGCCCUGCGCUGAUCUCUCUUCUUGCUGUGCCUUUCUGUCUUGCUCACUCUCUGCGUGUGUUCGCGUGUGUGUGUGUGUAUCUCCGCUUAUCGUGUACACUUGACGCGUGUCGUGCGGUAGAGGCCACGAAGGGUCGCUCGAAACGUUUGUGCGCGAGCGUUUACCGUUUUCCAGGGUCCGUUGGUUCUUUGUGCGCCGCUCAUUUGUGCUCGUCUCUUCUCGUAAUAACCGUGCGUCUCCCUUUGUACUCCGUUGGGGCUCUCGGUCUCGCUUUCGGCCCCUGCCGUGUUUUUCUUUUGUCCUGCUUUGACCUGCCGUGCGACACGGUGUCGUACAGCGAGCGCAUCACCGACAACCUCUCGUGCAAAUUCCGCGCGCCAUGUCUUCCAGGCGCGGCCGCCAGUGGCAAUCACCGAGCGGGGGCGACGACAACGGCCUUCGGCGCGACUCAUCUGCGAGAUACUCCAGCAGCGCGCACACAAAGCCGCUGCGCUACGGCAACGGAGGUGGAUUCCGCAGCAAUGACUCCAGGAGGACAGUGGACACGUCGGACCGGUACUGCGACAUGUAUACACUUCAAUGGGGCUGUGCAUCGUCGAGUGAUGGGGCGAGGACCGCUCGAAUCGGGGAGGUACAAGUUGGAUCCACGUCUCGAGAUUGCCGGCGACGAGACGCUAGUCGCGGCAGCGGAGUGAGUGGGCCGGGCGCCCGAGGAAGGAGUGUACGUGGUGGCAACAGGCAGUACGACGCGCCCUCCUCGUGGUCUACAUCGUCCUACACCUACUCGUACUCAGGCAGUGACGCCAACAACGGCGACUCCUCGAGUGAAGAGAGAGCACGGGACCAGAAUAGGGUCUAUGCUGGCUCGCGUGCACGAAAGCGGCAGGAAACGAAAUCGUCGCGGCCAACGCCACUCGGAAGUGCCAGAUCCCCAAUACGCGUCACGCCCACUGGGCCCCCUCCGCUGGACGCGCCGCCGCCCGGUGCGAUCCGGUGGGUGGACGAUGGCCGUAGAGGCAGAGAGGUGUACCGCGGCGAGAACGAGUCCAAGGCUGGCUCACUGUCGCGCCAGCACACCGACGCGGAUGAGCAGGACGCUGCGAUGAUGAAGCCGGCGGCGUCGCUCCGACCCCUUUUGUCGGCCAGGACACCUUCACUGCAGCCGACUGGCAUGCUGCGGCGUGUCAUCGCAGCCGUUGCAUACUACCGCGGUGUUCCUCCGCCGCCGUCCGUCCCACCGGAGGUGAUUCUCGCUUUUGACGAGUACGUUUCGCGUGGGUCGGUGAUGCUGAAGUUCGCUUCUCGUGGCCCGCCUCACCAGCGCUUCUUUGCGAUUCGCUUCCUGGACGUCAUGGCGGGCUCGAUACGGUUGGGCUGUGGGCGGGCAUAUGACCAGCGGCCGAGCAUUCUCCACGCGGUAUUGUCAUGGUAUCGAAGCGCGUCCAGUCGGCGCAUGAUUCGCUUCUUGCCGCUGCACGACUUGAUCGAGGUGAAGGCGGACGGGGCAGAUCACCGGUACGUUCGCCGGCGAACGGUGCAGCCCGGCCUCUUACGUGGCCCACGCUCGGGACUCGUGACAACGUACGUGCGCGCUGACUUCAUUGUGCAGUUUCGCUUCUGCUCACGCCUUUCGCGGGCAGAGGAAACACUGGCGCUUAUGGCAGAAAACCGCACCCAGUAUUUGGCAUGGCUCGUGGUGGGCUCAUUCAUUAGCCAGAUCGGCGAAAUUUACUAGGACCGAAACGAAGAGCGUUGUGCCUUGAAAGGGUGGGGUGAUGGCUUGUUGUGACACAGUGUUGCUAUGUGUCUGUAGGCUUGUGCGCGCGUGUACGCUCAGUGCCGCACUCCUUUCUCACUUGGCUCCUCCACUUGGGCGACAUGAGUUUCCCCUCCCUCCCCCUCCCCCCUGUGUCCUCGGAGGCGGUGCGUGCCCCUCGUUCUGCUGCUGUACAGCUCUAACUUUGUGUUCUUCCCUUCCCCCCUGUGUACCACUACACUUGUGAUCGUGGCGAGGCCUCAGCAAGCUGCCUCCACCUUCGAAUUCAACAUGUUGAUGAUGCCGACGAGUAGAACGCCCGCGUUUACUGGAGUUCAGCUUCUCUCAAGCUCUGCCAUUCGCCGCCUAGGUUUCUGUUCGACGCUAUGCAACGAAGGCCGGCAGGGGUGGGGGUGUGGUAAGCUCGUAGUAGCAACUCGCCAUGCCGCCCUUGCCUCACCUUGAGCAAUCGUGGUAGGCAGCUGACAGGAAGGACACUCACGCCUGCACGUCCUUUAUGGGGGGGGGCAUUGAUGUGUCCUUUCUUUGUGUGCAUGUGUAUGUUUUGUUCGUUGGGUUUAUGGCCGCCCCGCUGCGACGGUUUCCUUGUUUUGUGUGAACUGUUUGCCAUCGUGUCGAAUGCUGCCCCCGUGCUUUUGCGUAGGAGCAGCUGUAGUGACAUAGUGAGUAAACACACCUUGAAGCAACCAACCGCGUUCUCGCCCUCUUCUUUCAACGUCCCCCUUCUCGCUCCCUGACCCCCUCCUUCUCUCGGAUGUUCUCUCUCUGCCGCUUCAUGCUAUUUCUCACCCACGAAAAAAAAACUAUAUGUACACGCAUAUAUCGUUCUUCACGGCAUUGCCGCACGCGGCACUCUGCCACAG
rnacentral:misc_RNA from 1 species